rnacentral:misc_RNA from 1 species
GAUGAAGAACGCAGCGAACUGCGAAAAUUAAUGCGACCCGCAACACGUGAGUCAUCGAGUUUUUGAACGCAUAUUGCACCCGACAGAAACUGUCGGGUCUGCCUGGCUGAGUAUCAGUACGUGCCCGGUCGUUGUAUGCAAAUUUAUUAAUAGGUUUGUAUAUCCGACGUACCGGUGAUCGUUGAGCAGCAAUGCUGCUUGACGGAUGUGAGUGUCCGGUGGUCUUUUGUACCGCUGGUCAUUUGAAAUUCAUCGGUGCCGCGCAUCGUCUCUCGAGACGUUGUCGACUUGUUAGCGUUGUAAUCAUCCUCGGAUGUCUUCGCAUUAUAUACGGUCGGCGUCAAACUAUGCAGCGACACUUGUACGCAUACUAUAUAUAUACUCUCCCCUUGAUCUCAGAUCAGGCAGGAUGACCCGCUGAACUUAAGCAUAUCAAUAAGCGGAGG